GUUUAUUGAGGCUCUUAUGGAUUAACACACCACCAACUGGACCAUAUAAGGCGCGUCACUUAUAUUGGAACUUGAACACAUGCAGGCUAAUAUUAGAUCUGCAGCAUAUGGCUCCGAGUGGCUGUUUGUGUGGCACAUAUAACGGCGCCUGACGCGCACAUGUUGCAUCAUGUCACUUUAAAAGCAAAGUUUGACGCUCUACUUGUUGAUCAUUGUGAACCAGUUGCUGCUGGUGUAGUAGAAGAAGAACAUUGACAGUGUUUCUGUGAGAAUAUCUGUCGUUAACCUGCUGUCUCUCUCUCUCUGCAUUUUCAGCGCCUAAAGCCCCGCAGAUGUCUCUCCACCGGCUCUUUAAGAUGUUGCAGCUCCAAGAUGCUGCAGGAUGAACCUACAGCAGGUAAGAUCACACUGGAACCGCUGGAGAAGAACCGCAGCAUCACAACUUCAGAUUAAAUUAUAUUUACUGUGUUUAGCGGAAGAGUUAUUGUAUAAAGCUAAUGCAGUUUAUACACUGCAAAAAGGUGUGUCUAAAAACAAGAUAAAAACAGUAAAUCUGAUGGAAAUGAUCUUGCUGCAUGGACAGAUAAUGUCACUUGACUCGCUGCUUGCAGCUUUAAUUGAUCUUGUUUUAAGAGUU